rnacentral:lncRNA from 1 species
AGUCGCGCCUGCCACAUCUACCUCCCCAGCCAUCCUACUCUCUAUGCUGCUGCAAACUAGACAUUCCUUCCUGGAGGGACCUCUCGCUUCCCAUCUUCAGAUCAGGACGCACGGUCUCUUCUCCGCAGCUGCUUCCUCUGGUGUUCCUGUGCUCCUGUCGGCCCGCUGCUCCCACACACAUGCCCAUUCUUCUCGGGCUGGCUUGUAUCUCAGGGUUACGCUCCCCAGGUCCCUUGCUCCAGCCUCCUCUUAAACAUGACAAAGAAUCCAAGGACUUGUGCUGGGGCUGUCAGCUGCUAUUCUGGUGCCCUGGGGACGAAGAAGGGAUCUGGAGGGAAGACUGUCACCCUCUUGCGAAUGUUUCCAAGAAGCAGCUCAGCAUGGGAGAGAAAAGGGGAGAUCCCAGUUCCAGGAACACCUGGCCAGUGUUUCACCUGUUUAUCGGAGUUGACAGGACCAGCCAGCCCUUUCCCACCUCUCCCCAUCAUGAUGGAUGGGAGCCUGGCCUUUGAGCUCAUCAUCCAAUAUAUGCCUUUUGAACACCUAGUACAUCCCUAGCACUGUGCUCACACAGCGGGGCGAUGGCGAACAAGAGACAAGGUUCCUGUCCUCAUGGAGCUUACAGUCCCGCUUGCCUUACACGGACUCGCUGAGCCUUCUUCUCGGGUGAUGCCUCAGCUUCCUACUUCACGAAGAAGAUAAAAGCAAUCAGAAGAGAUGCUCACGAGCAUCUGUCCCCACCUCACCCGCUGCCUCACCGCAUGCCCGCGUUUUGUGUCUGUCCCUCUCCUGUUCUGUGGAUGAACUUUUCACGCCAUGGCUCAGGCCAGCCCCUCCCCCUGCAACAUUCAUCCCAUGCCCUCCUGGCUGCUCAAGGACAUCGCUCCAGUGUCUCCCUUCUGUCCCUUGCACCAUCAAUCUUUCCCUCUCUAUGGGGUCUCUCCUAGCAGCAUGCUACCAUGUUGCCAUCUCUCCCAUGUAAAGAUACCUUGUCUUGACCCCACUUCCUCCCCCAGGAGAAUGGCCCCAGUUCUUACCACUUCCAAAAUGAUUGUCUGGACUCAUCAUCUCCAAAUUCUCUCCUCCCAUUCUCCCUUGAAUCCACCCCAAUCACACUGUCAUCCCUGACACUGUUCUUGUCAAGGUCACCAAUGUCCUCAUUUUGCUAAAUGCAGUGGACAUUUCUUGGUCCUCAUCUUGCCUGGCUGUCAGCAUCAUUUGACAUGGCUGGUUCCUCCCUCCACGUUGAACACUUUCUUCACAUCCACCUGCUUUCCUUCUCCUUCUGGCCACUGCCUCUCAGACUCUUUUGCCAUCUUCUCUUCAGAUUCCUGCGAAGGAAUGACAAAGAACAUCAAGGCUCAAUCCUUGGAACUCUCCAUCACUCAUCUUUAAAUUAGACUUCUCUGCUGACUCUCAGAGUUGUGUAUGCUGAGAAUCCACUGCCUCUAAGACAUCCUGCUUGGCAGGUUCCUAUCUCCCUUCGACUGAGGCAUCGUUUCCAAAUCAGACACUUCUCGUCACCACUAUUGCCCUCCCCUUGUCCAACCCACCUUUGGCUCUUGGCUGGAGUCCGGUGAGUCUCCUAGCUGGCUCUCCCUGUUCUCGUCAUUUCCCAGUAAGUUCCAACCCUGCCUUCAGACUCUUCUGCACACAGCUUCCAGAGUAAUCCUUUCAAAAAGUAAGUCAGAUCCCAUCUUUUCCCUCCCGUCUCACUCUGUCAGCCACAUUCAUUCCAAAGGACCAUGUGGUCCAUGUCCCUGUUCUCUCUGGUUCUCUCACUGCUCUCCUCUGUGCUUACUCUCUCCUGCCUCACAAUGUUUGCACUUACUGUUUCUUCUGCUUGGAACUCUUUCCCUCCAAGACCUUUUUUUUUUGAGACGGAGUCUCGCUCUGUCGCCCAGGCUGGAGCGCAGUGGUGCAAUCUCUGCUCACUGCAAGCUCUGCCUCCCAGGUUCACGUCAUUCUCCUGCCUCAGCCUCCCGAGUAGCUGGGACUACACGCACCAGCCACCAUACCCAGCUCAUUUUUUUUGUAUUUUCAGUAGAGACGGGGUUUCACCAUGUUGGCCAGGAUGGUCUUGAUCUCCUGACCUCGUGAUCCGCCCGCCUCGGCCUCCCUAAGCGCUGGGAUUACAGGUGUGAACCACCGCGCCCGGCCUCCCUCCAAGAUCUUUACUCACGUUGUCACCUUAGUGACGGCUCCCUCCCUAACCAUCCUAUUUAAAAUUGCAGCCCGUUCAACACCCAUUCCUCCUUCUCCAUCCUUGCUCUGCUUCCUCCCUUUGACCUGUCACUCUUUAAUCCAGUGGCAUUCUGAUUCAAUGGUGACUGGGAGCAGGACCUAAGGAGGUGCGUCAUCUGUAGAGAAUUUGAAAAUAAUCGUGAAAUAAACUCAAAGUGGGUUUGCUCUUUAUGAGCCCCGCACACCAGCAAUUCUAAAUUCUGUUAUCAAUAUACUUUCCUGCCAGGGUGGGCCGCCCCCACCGAUUCUCCUCUAUCUUAAUACACUAUGUGUUUCCCUUGUUUAUUUUGCUUAUUGUUCAUUUCCAUGCACUAGAAUAUAAGCUCCGCGAGGGCAGUAUAUUUUGUCUGUUUUGUUCACCACUGUGUCCCUCGUGUCUGCCACAUGGUGUGUGCUCAGUAAGCUUUAGCUGAAUGAAUGAAGUGGUGGAUGUCGACGUUCCCUUAGUUGGGGGUUAUCAGGAGGGCUUCCUGGAUGAAUUGGUGUCUAUAUUGCCUGUCCUUAAAGAGGAGGAAGGUGCUCUAGGCAGAAGGAACAGCAGGUACAAAAGCAACUUGACUGUCAGGGUCAUUAGCUAAGAGUAGGAGUCAGAGGGAUGAGUGGGUGUCGUUCACCAGAAUUUACCCUUCAAAAUGUCAGUGCUUAGUAAAUGAAUGUGUUCCUUUAUUACUAGUUGUUGGAGGGUCCUUGUUGACAUCUUGCAGAGGUCUGGCUGUCACUUUUAAUCAGAAUGGCUAUUCCCCACUCCUGCUGAAGAGCUCCAGGCCUGGCGGGGGUGGGCUGGCGGGCUGUGGUGGUGGUAAGGGCUGUCCCCCAGCACACUGUUAGAACUUUACUUAUCCUCUUGCUUGAAGUGUGGGAGCUGGAGACCAUUCAGGAAGCUGUGGUUACAGUCCCAGACAGGGUCCCUAAAAGCAAGGAGCCAUUCCCAAUGCUUCCUCCUUAGGGAAGCCUUCCCUACUUUCUCUUCCCUCUUCUGGGCAGAGUUUGUACCUUCCUCCUUUUUGCUCUCUGUUUAUUUCUUUAAUUUAACACUUAACAACAUAAUACCAUCUUUAUUUGUUCCAUGUUUGUAUCUUCUACUGAAUGUGGCUUCAAGAACAGAAAGCACAGAACGUGGCACGUUGGAGGAAAUCAAAAGAAAUCUCGCCAUUGCCGGGAAUGGGUAAAUCACUCAGGCCGCGUGGGUCCUUGGCAGAUGGCAGAGGCGGCUUCCCAGUCCCCCACCUGGCACUAGAGGGACGGGGCGCGCACCCAACGGUGGCACGCAUCGCCGAAUUUUCCUGAAUGCCGCUGUGGCACAUUCCUGGCCUUUGCAGUUAUUAGGAAAUGAGAGGAUCUUUUUUCCUUCUACUCUCCCCUCCCCCUGCCUUCGUUUUUCUUCCAGGCAUGGAAUUAUCUACUUUAGCAGUUCAAAAGACAUUCCAUUCCCAUGACAAAGACAGAAAGGGGUGAUGUUGGCAUACUGUAGCCCUCUUUCUCAUAGGGAGACUUGAGCAAUAAAUCAUAAUGAAUGAGAAUUUAAAAUAGCAUUUAUUUAACCUUUAAUAGUACACCUUGCUGAUUUUCAAAGCGUCACCAACAGCUUUGUUUUUCACAUUCCCCAGCAAGGGUCCAACUCAAACUUUGAGCAGACAGUAGCGAAUUUUAUUCCUCUCAUAUAUUCCUAAAAAAAAAUGGGUUGAGGGGAUUCGUGUUCCGCUCCCUCUCAGCUCUUAAAUGUCUUAAGUCUAUCACUGAACAAAGACUGACAGAAGAUUUUAAAAUAGAAUGCAAAACUAUCAUCACAGCAAAUAUCUACUUACAUCUUUUUUUUUUUUUUUUAGAUGGAGUCUCGCUUUGUCGCCCAGGCUGGAGUGCAGUGAUGCGGUCUCGGCUCACUGAAGCCUCCUCUUUCCGAAGCCUACGCCUCCCAGGUGCAAGCGAUUCUCCUGCCUCAACCUCCCAAGUAGCUGGGAUUACAGGCGUCCGCCACCACACCCGGCUACUUUUUUUUUUUUUUUUUUGAAACGGAGUCCCGCUCUGUCGACCAGGCUGAAUGGAGUGCAGUGCCGCGCUCACUGCAAGCUCCGUCUCCCGGGUUCACGCCAUUCUCCUGCCUCAGCCUCCCGAGUAGCUGGCACUACAGGCGCCCGCCACCACGCCUGGCUAAUUUUUUUUUUUUUUUUGUAUUUUUAGUAGAGACGAGGUUUCAGCAUGUUAGCCAGGAUGGUCUCGACCUCCUGACCUCGGGAUCCGCCCGCCUUGGCCUCCCAAAGUGCUGGGAUUACAGGCGUGAGCCACUGUGCCCGGCCCUUUUUUUUUUUUUUAAAGUAGAGACGAGGUUUUGGCAUGUUGGCCAGGCCAGUCUCCAACUCCUGACCUCAGGUGAUCUGCCCGCCUCAGCCUCCCAAAGUGCUGAGAUUACAGGCCUGAGCCACUGUUCACGACCCCACGCCCAGCUCUACUUAUAUCUUCUAUUUAGCACUCUUCUUUCUGGCUUGGAACCCACCUAUCUCUUUUCCAGAGGCAAUGAUAUACACAGGUAUCCACCUUAGCUCACCCAAGACGGGCUCACACCAGUGAAUGCCAGAGUAUCUGGAAGUGGUUGAUCAAAAACAUUCUCAAUAAUGGGUAAUCCAGCAGGAGACACCAACCUCGACAAAAAUGAAAGGUCAGGGGGAUUUUCCCCCAAAAGAACGGAAUAUUCUAAAAGUUUGAACACCUUUUAACAGUCUUGGGCUUUCAUCCCUGUGUGUGUUGCAAUUUACAGUUGUGCUUGAGGAUGGGAGAAUAUCCUAGGUCAUUGUUUUCAGUAAGGGUCAUUUUUAGCUUCUCAGAAUGUGACUCUGGUAUGUUCCAUUGCACAGGUAUUUUUCACAGUUCCCUAGGCCUGACUGGUCUGAGAGUAUUUAAGGCUGCCCCAGAGAGGAGCCCCUAGCCAGGCGAUUCCCGGCUUGUGCAGGAAUCGCAGUGGAAGGACAAUGGGCCAAUUACUAGCAAAGCCUGCGGUCUCCCUGGGAGAGGUUAAGGAGGAGAGCACAUGGCCUUUAAGCUACCGUGUCAUCUGUUCUGGGGCUUAAUCAAGUUAUCAUAUCACCCCAGUGUCUCCCGGCUUCUAUCCAUCGAUUUGAAUGAAGACAAAAAUUUGCAGACAAAUUUCUAGCAGCAGGAAGUUGGUGCUCUCCUGUGAGGCUGGAUGAAAAGCACCUGUAACCUUGCCGGCCUCCAUCUAGCUCCUGCUGGGAGCUGCUUCAGGCAGCAGCCUGCUGGAUUCAGAGCCUGCCUGUCAGUGGAAGCUGGGCUCGGGGGAGGAUGCUAGUAUGUGUUUCAAGAGAAUGGCCUGGAGCAGGCUCAGCUGUGGCUAGGACGGCACAAUGUGGCCAGCUACUGGGGAAUGGGUAGGUGGACACUGUCACCUUCCUUUUGAUAUUGACCUGGAGUCAUAUUUAAGUUAAGACAGAGCUGGCGUGCAACAAUCCUCAUGAUGGUUUGAAGGGAAACUGUUUCUGUCUCUGGAGGGAGGGUAAGAGUCAAGGAGCUCUCCCACACUGCCAUGAAGGCCAGACCUCUACUCCUCUCUGAGCUGGUUUCCUUCUCGGUGAAGCUCAAGCAUGUAGUAAUUUGCAUCUAAUCUGCAGGGUGGAAGAGAAAGGAAGUUUGAUGUAGUAGAUUGAGCAUUGUUUGGGAGUCAUAAGACAUGUUCUAGACCUAGCUCUACAACUUGGGUAAGUGGCUUAGCCGCUUUUUUUCUUGGUUAUUUCGCGUAUAAGAUGGGGAUAAUGAUCCAGGCUGUUGCCUACUUCACAGGUUAUGAACCAAGGAGAUGAAAGAUGCUGAUCAGUCAAUGAAAAAAAUUUAAAAACCACAUUACUAGUGCCUCUAAAGCCCUGCCAGCAUCUAUGCCCUGUGAUUCAACAUCACAAAGAGGGCUAGGAGAAGAAGAAAGUUAUUAAUUGGCAUUACUAUAAAAGCAUUCCAUCCUGAGAAGAGGUUCAUCACUGAAUGUGAAUUUCAUAGUCAUUAGCAGAAAAAGCCAGAGGGUAUGAGUUCAACACUCUGAGGUGGCUUGUUGAUCUGAUCAAAAUCAACUUUUCUGGAGUCCACAGAAAAUUAGACUUUUUGACAUUCUGCUGAAAGAGUCAUAUCCCAAAAAGGCUGGAUGGAGACCUGGUCAAUAAAUCACUUCUUCUCCCGCCCCUGACCUUCACACUGUUUAUGUCCUUCAGCCACUAUGACAGGGGACAUCGACCUUGAACCUAGUUGGCAACUCUAGCCUGUUUCCUCAUCUAUCAAAUGGGGUACAUUUUCUCUGCCUCCCUAACUGGUGGGAGCAUGGGUAGAGUCAUCUGGUCAACAGGUGAGAAAGUGUUUUGUAAAGCAGAAGGUGCUGGAUGUGUUCACACUUCACCACACACUCCUAAAGGAUCAUUAUUGUCCAUUUAACUGGAACCCAAAUGAAUACAUUGGGGAAAUUUUGCAGCCUUGUGGACUUGGCAGUUUGGAUCCAAUGUCAUGGAUGAUGUGGCUCAAAAGAAGUUUCUUUAUGCUGAGUAAUCACCUGGCUGCUGGCUCUGAAUGAAUAGGUAUAGGGUACCCUGUUGCUCUCCUGAGAGACUGGCCCAGUGGGCAUAAGCAGGGCUUGGACGCUGAUGCCCAAACACAGAGAACAUCAGACAGCAAACAGCUAAACCAGGGACCAAAUGCUCUGCGUUGCUUCUUUUCCCAUUAGUUUGCUCCUAAGCACCUGCCCCAUCAAAAUACCCAUGACUCCCCCAAAUGUCACAGGGGGCACUGCUGGGAUGUUCCCUCUGCCGUUUCCUCUGCCACAUCUCUCCACCUUCUCUGCUUAUUUAAUUUAUCUUAUCCUGGCUGGGCACAGUGACUCAUUCCUGCAAUCCCAGCACUUUGAGAGGCCAAGGUGGAAGGAUUGCUUGAGCCCAGGAGUUUGAGACCAGCCCGAGCAACACAGCAAGAUCCCAUCUCUACAAAAAUUAAAAAACUUAGCCAGGUGUGGCAGUGCACCUGUAGUCCUAGCUACUAGGGAGGCUAAGGUGGGAGGAUCACUUAAGCCAGGAGUUUGAGGCUGCAGUGAGCUAUGAUUGUGCCACUGCACUCCUGCCACAGCCUGGGUGACAGAGCGAAACCCUGUCUCUCAAAAGAAAAAAAAAGUCUCAUCAAGGUUCUACUCAUUGUCACCUCCUCUGUGAGGCCACAGUCUUCAAACUCCUAACACAGUCAGUACUGACUAUCCCCCCAGCCGAGUGAAGCACUGUCUUGUGCUUUGCCGCGCUGCAGUCUGAUUUGUAUGAGCAUUCACUGUGCACCCACCUCUAUCCCUGUUUACGUUGUGAGCUUCUCAAGGGCAGAAACCAGGUAUGAUCCCUCUUGGUGUCCCAGCACCUAGCACAGCUGCUGGUGUCUAGUAAUUUAUGAUUCAAUGUUGGAUUGCAUUUUUGCCAUUCCUUUGUGUGUCAGAGAGUGACCUGAGGGGAUUGUGAGAGGGGAAGAAAAGAUGAAAUCUUUUAUUUUUAUUUAUUUAAAUCAAUUCCAUUUUUGCUUUUGCCUUGAGUCCCAGCCCAUUAAAAAAUCUGAAAAACUGCUCUGAUGUAAUUCAUAGGAUAACCACAGUUUGUCUACUCACCAAUUGAGGGACAUUUGGGUUGCUUCCAGAUUUAUUUAUUUUUUGAGACAGAGUUUUGCUCUUGUUGCCCAGGUUGAAGUGCAAUGGCAUGAUCUUGGCUCACUGCAACCUCCACCUCCAGGGUUCAAGCGAUUCUCCUGCCUCAGCCUCCACAGUAGCUGGGAUCACAGGUGCCCGCCACCAUGCCCAGCUAAUUUUUGUAUUUUUAGUAGAGAUGGGGUUUCACCAUGUUGGCCAGGCUGGUCUCAAUCUCCUGAGCUCAAGUGACCCACCCACCUCAGCCUCCCAAAGUGCUGGGAUUACAGGUGUGAGCCACCAUACCCGGCCUCCAGAGUUUGGCUAUUAUGAAUAUGUGGUUAUGAAUAAUGUUGCUGUGAACAUUCACAUACAAGUCUAUGUUUUCAUUCUCUUGGGUAAGUACCUAGGAGUGGAAUUUCUGGGCUAUGUAAUGGGUGUAUGUUUAACUUUAAGAACACUGCCAAACACUUUUCCAAAGGGGCCAUACCGUUUCACAUUUCUACUGGCAGUGUUUGAGAGUGUAGUUUUUCUACAUCUUCACUAACUCCUUGCGAUGACAGUUUAAAAAAAAACCCAUUCUAAUGGGUAUAUUGGGUAUUUCAUUGUAGUUUUGAUUUGUAUUUCCUUGUUGCCUAGUCGUGUUCAUAUUGGCUGCCCAUAUAUUUUCUGUGGGAAGUGUCUGUUCAAAUAUUCUGUCCAUUUUUAAAAUCUGUAUUGUUUGCUUUCUUAUUAUUCUGCAUACAAGCCUUUCACUAUAUAUAUAUUUUACAGAUAUUUUCUCCUAGUCUCUGGCUUGUCUUUUCAUUUUCUUAAAUGUGUCCUUAAGUGAAUAGAAGUUUUUAAUUUUUAUGAAAUCUAUUUUAUUAUAUUUUUCUUUUAUGAUUACUGCUGUUUGUGUUAAGUUUAGAUAAUCUUUGUGUGUCAUGUUUAGGUAAUCUUUACCAACACAAUAUCACAAAGAUUUUCUGCUGUUUUCUUCCAGAAAUUCUUAUUGUUUUAGCUCUUAUGUUUAGGUCUAUUAUCUAUUUUGAUCAUUUUGCAUAUGAUGUGAAAUAAGGUUUAAAACUUAAUUCGUCCCCAUAAAGAUAUCCAGUACCACUUUGUAAAAAGACUAUACAUUCCUCAUUCAAUUGUCUUGGCACUUUUGUAAAAAAAAUUAAUUGAGCAUAUAAAUGCAAGUCUAUUCCUGCACUCUCUACUCUGUUCUACUGAUCUAUAACCAUGCCAAUGCCAUACAAUUUUGAUUAUUGUGGUUUUAUAGUAAUCCUGAAAUCAGGUAAUGCAAGCACUUCAAACUUGCUUUUAUUUUUUAAGUUAUUUUGGCAAUUUUUAACUCUUUGCUUUUUCAUAUUAUUUUAGAAUCAAUUUAUCAGUUUCUCCAAAAUAGUCUGUUAUGAUUUUGAUGAGGAUUGUAUUGAGUCUAUAGGUCAGUUUUUAGAAAAAACUUUUAACAAUAUUGCAUCUUCAAAUCCAUGAACAUGGUAUGCCUCUCCAUUUAUUUAGGUUUUCUUUAAUUUCCCUUAAUAAUAUUUUGUAGUUUUAAGGUUAUAGGUCUGGAACAUCUUUCUUUAAAUUCAUUUCUAAGUAUUUUUAAGUACUAUUUGUAAAUGAAGUUUUUAAACCUUUAUUUCCCAAUUGUUCAUUACUUGUAUAUAGAAAUGCAACUGAUUUUUAAUUAAACUUUUUAUUUUGAAAUAAUUAUAAGUUCACAGGAAGUUACAAAGGUAGUACAAAGAGGAUCCAUGUGCUCUUCACUCAGUUUCCCCCCGUGGUUACAUUUUAGAUGGUUAUAGUAUAAUAUUAAAACUAUGAAUUUGACACUGGUACAAUGUGUGUGUAUAGUUCUAUGUCAUCUUAUCAUAUGUGUAUAUUUGUAAGCACCUCACAGUCAAUAUGCAGAAUUAUUUCAUCACCAUAAAAAUCUUUCUUGUGCUGCCUCUUUAUAGUCACGCCUAUCCCCGUCUCUCCAACCAUCCCUAACCUCUGGCAACCACUAACCUGUUUUCCAACACUAUAAUUUUGUCAUUUCAAGAGUGUUAUAUAAGUGGAAUCAUACAGUAUGUCACCUUUUGAACUUGGCUUUUUUUUUUCUCAUUUAACAUAAUGACUUUGAGAUCAGUUCAAACUAUUGCAUGUAUCAAUAAUUCAUUCCUUUUCAUUGCCGAGCAGUUUUCUGUAGUAUACAUGUUCCACCGUUUAUUUCACCAUUCACCUGUUGGAGAACAUUUUGGUUGUUUCCUGUUGGGGAUAAUAAAAAUGAAGUGGCUUAGCACAAUUACGUAUAGGUUUUAAUGUUGACAUACAUUUUCAUUUCUCUGGGAUAAAUACCUAGAAGUGCAAUUGCUGUGAGGUAUGGUAAUUUUAAAAGAAACUUUCAAGCUGUUUUCCAGAGUGACUGAAUCAUUUUACAUUACCAACAGCAAUGUAUAAGAAAUCCAGUUUCCCCACAUCCUGGCCAUGAUUUGGUAUUGUGGCUAUUUUGAAAUUUUACUUGAUCUAAUAGAUAUGUGGUGAUAUCUAAUUGCGGUCUUUAUUUGCAUUUCUUUAUUGGUUAGUGAUGUUUAACAUCUUUUCAUCUGCUUAUUUUUUAUUUUUAUAUACUCUUCAUUAAAAUUUUUCUUCAUAUAUCUUUUACCACUUGUCUACUUAAAUUAUUUGAUUUUUUUACUCUUCAGUUUUAAGAAUUCUUUAUAUAUUCUAGAUAUGAUAUGAGUCCUUUUUCAGAUAUGCUGUUUGCAAAUAUUUUCUCCCAGUGUAUAACUUGUCUUUUCUUCCUCUUAAGAGGGGCUUUUAUAGAGCAAAAGUUUGUAGUGUUGAUAAAGUCCAAUUUAUCACUUAAAAGUUUUUUUCUGUCUUUUUUUUUUUUUUGCUUUUGGUCUAUGAACUCUUCACUAAACCACAGGUCCUGAAGAUUUGUCCUUAUGUUAUCUUCUGAAAGUUUUAUAGUUUUAUGUUUUACAUUUAAAUCUAUGGUCCAUUUUUAAUUAAUUUUUGUAACAGGUAUGAUUUUGGGGUUGAGGUUCCUUUCUUUUUCUUUCUUCUUAUUUGCCCAAGAAUAUCUAUUUGCUCCAGUACUGUUUCUUAAAAAGGCUAUCCCUUCUCCAUUGAAUUGCUUUUGCACCUUUGUCAAAAAUGAGUUGGCCCUACUUGUGUGGGGCUCAUACCUAGAAUAUCUAGGACCCAUUUCUGGGUUCUCUAUUCUGUUUCAUUGAUCUUUGUAUCUAUUCCUCAUGCUGACUUGGUUACUGAUGCUAUCUAAUCAGUCUUAAAAUCAGGUAAUAUGACUUUUCCCAAAUUAUUUUCCCCAAACUGUUUUACUUAUUCAACUCCCUUUGCUUUUUCAUAUACAUUUAGAAUAAGCUUGUUGUCUACAUCUACAGAAAUCUUGCUGAGAUUUUGAUUGGAAUUGUGUUGCACCUGUAUAUCAGUUUGGGGAAAUUUGACAUCAUUACUAUUUUGACUCUUCCUAUCCAUGACUAUCAUAUGUCAACCAUUUACUUAGAUUUUUCUUUGAUUUCUUUCAUUAGCAUUUUGAUGUUUUCAACACAUAAGUGCUGGACAUCUUUAGUUAUAUUUACACCUAAAUAUUUCAUUUUCUUGAUUAUAUGUUAUAUUAACACCUGAAUAUUUCAUUUUCUUGAUUAUACAUUAUAUUUUAUAUUUGUUGUCCAUGUAUUCAUUGCUAGUAUAUUAAAAUAGAUGUGAUUUGCCUAUGUUUGUUGAUACGGUUUGGAUCUAUUUCCCUGCCCAAGUCUCAUGUUGAAAUGUAAUCCCCAGUGCUGCAGGUGGGGCCUGGUAGGAGGUGUUUGGAUCAUGGGGCUGGCUUCUCAUUAAUGGUUUGGCACCAUCCCCGUUGGUGUUGCCAUCGUGAUAGUGAGUUGUGAGACCUGGUUGUUUAAAAGGAAUGUUAUAUUUCUUAAUAAAUCAAAGAAUGGAGUGAUUUCAUGAUUAGAAAGGACAUGUUGGGCCUGACACAGAGUAAGCCCUAAAUGAAUGCUCAGGGAUGAUGAAUCUUCUCCCCAGUAUCCCACUUUGCUAGAUUACCCUUAGUGAUAGAUUGUUCACUCUCUCUUAAAUUCUGGGCAUUUGAAAUAUUUUCCUCUCAUGUGCUCAAAACACUUUCAUUUCAGCUUCCACUCUGCAGUCCCAGUGUCUGUCCCUAGGGCUACACAGAAUGAGCCCGAUUCCCCUUCCCUACGAAUAUCCCUGAACUCUCAAAUAGGGGAAGCAGCCUCAGCUUCCCCAGCCAGUGUUUGUAAGAGUGAGAUUUCUAGUCCUCUCAUGAUCCUAGUCUCUUUCCCUUGAGCAGAAUUCUGUACCUGCACAGUUCUCUCCAGAUGUGAUGUCCAGAAAGGUCUCAGCACCCUGGGUGGAGCCUGGGGGACCCCCUUCUUUCCGGUAGGCAGCUUAAGCUCCCAUUGGCUCUUCCGGCAGCCAGGUUGCAAAGGCUUAUAUUAAGCUGGUGGCUGGUGAGCACCCCUGGGCCCUUUUUAUCUUUCCCUACAUAAAUCUGCACACCAGCUUUCUGCAGGUGGCUUCCCAUAGCUGCCUUCUAAGGGGAGCUACAUCAAACCUCAAGGAAUUUACCACCAUGAAAGCCUGUCUUGCCCCGAGACCUUCCUCACCUGCAAAGCAUAAGCUUGGGCAGGGCUUGGAACCACAUGCCCUAAGGCCCUUAAAUCUGCCUGUAUCUCUGCUCUAUAAUUUUCAGAAAAAUUAACUGCAUUAUGGGAUGGCUUAUAUUCAAGUCAGGGUCCAUACAGCCAGCAGAGGGCAAAAAUGGUGAAUGCCGUAUGGAAUCUUAUGGCUUGCAAAACAGUUUCUAUAUCACCUCCUUGGAUCCACAGAAUAACUAGUAAACUGUGUGAGGCAGGUAGGGAGGGUGGAUCAUUUCUAUUUGACAGGUAAGGAAAGAGAGGUUGCAGGGAGGCUGCAGGCUGCUACGACUAAAAACAAAGAAGAGUCAAAAGUGACAGAACACCACACUCUGUUUAUCACAAAACACUGCUUAGCAUCUCAG